AGCCCGUCUGGAAACACGGACCAAGGAGUCUUACAAUAAUGCGAGUGUUUGUCAUGGAAUGACGAACGCGCAGCGAAAGCGAAAUAGCUCUUGAACACGAGCGGGGCCUCUCUUUCCUCGGAAGGAGAAUACACUUGAAGCAUUACUGUAGGGACCCGAAAGAUGGUGAACUAUGCCUGAGCAACUUGAAGUCAGGCGAAAGCCUGAUGGAGGAGUGCAAACGGUUCUGACGUGCAAAUCGAUCGUGAGAUUUAGGUAUAGGGGCGAAAGACUAAUCGAACCAUCUAGUAGCUGGUUCCCUCCGAAAUUUCCCUUAGGAUAGCUGCAACUUAUACAGUUUUAUCAGGUAAAGCGAAUGAUUAGAGGCAUCUGGGCCGAAAUGGUUUGGACCUAUUCUCAAACUUUAAAUGGGUAAGAACCGACACUUGCUUAAGUGAAGUGUCGAGUUGAAUGGAAGUUGUUAGUGGGCCAUAGCUGGUAAGCAGCUCUGGCGAUGCGGGAUGAACCGAACGUGAUGUUAAAGUGCCAGAGUGCCCGCUCAUCAGAUCCCACAAAAGGUGUUGGUUCAUAUAGACAGCAGGACGGUGGCCAUGGAAGUCGGAAUCCGCUAAGGAGUGUGUAACAACUCACCUGCCGAAUGAACUAGCCCUGAAAAUGGAUGGCGCUGAAGCGGGCCACUUAUACAUCACCAUCAGCGCAAGAUGUAGGCGUUGAUGAGUAGGAGGGCGUGCGGCUUGUGACGCAUCCUUCGGCGUGAGCCGGGGUGAAACAGGCUGUAGUGCAGAUCUUGGUGAUAGUAGCAAAUAUUCAAAUGAGAACUUUGAAGACUGA
rnacentral:rRNA from 1 species